UCCUGGCUCAGGAUAAACGCUGGCGGCGUGCUUAACACAUGCAAGUCGAACGGAGUAUCCUCCCGCAGAUUUAGAAGCUUGCUUCUGAAUGAAGCAUUGGAAUACUUAGUGGCGGACGGGUGAGUAACGCGUGGGUAACCUGCCUCACACAGGGGGAUAACAGUUGGAAACGACUGUUAAUACCGCAUAAGCGCACAGUACCGCAUGGUACAGUGUGAAAAAACUCCGGUGGUGUGAGAUGGACCCGCGUCUGAUUAGCUAGUUGGUGAGGUAACGGCCCACCAAGGCGACGAUCAGUAGCCGGCCUGAGAGGGUGUACGGCCACAUUGGGACUGAGACACGGCCCAAACUCCUACGGGAGGCAGCAGUGGGGAAUAUUGCACAAUGGGGGAAACCCUGAUGCAGCCGACGCCGCGUGAGUGAUGAAGUUAUUUCGGUAUGUAAAGCUCUAUCAGCAGGGAAGAUAAUGACGGUACCUGACUAAGAAGCACCGGCUAAAUACGUGCCAGCCGCCGC
rnacentral:rRNA from 1 species